rnacentral:misc_RNA from 1 species
GCAUGGCCCGAAUUCUACUGCCUCAAAUAGACAUUACAUUCUAUAUAUUUCAAUUUGAGGCAGUAGAAUUCGGGCCAUGCGAUUAUGAACUUACAACAAUAAAGAUUCUCAUAAAUACAUCACAACUUCAAUACGGCAUUCCACAAAAUCUUAGGGCACUAAAUGCAUGGAAAAAAAAUGUACAAUUUAACUUACAUGAUGCUGCUAACAACCAAGAAAAUGCAAAAUAGGCAUCUGUCUUACCAAGAAAGAAACCAAACUACAAUUGA